GACGACGCUGGCGGCGUGCUUAACACAUGCAAGUCGAACGGAGUUACGUAUGAAGUAUUUCGGUACGGACUAUGUAACUUAGUGGCGAACGGGUGAGUAACACGUGGGCAACCUGCCCUUAACCGGGGGAUAACAUUGUGAAAACAGUGCUAAUACCGCAUAACAGAGUAUCGGGCAUCCGAUAUUUUUAAAAGGAGCAAUCCGGUUUAGGAUGGGCCCGCGUCCAAUUAGCUAGUUGGUGAGGUAACGGCUCACCAAGGCUACGAUUGGUAGCCGAACUGAGAGGUUGAUCGGCCACAUUGGGACUGAGACACGGCCCAGACUCCUACGGGAGGCAGCAGUGGGGAAUUUUGGACAAUGGGCGCAAGCCUGAUCCAGCCAUGCCGCGUGAGUGAAGAAGGCCUUCGGGUUGUAAAGCUCUUUCGGCGGGGAAGAAAUCGCAUCUCCUAAUACGGGGUGUGGAUGACGGUACCCGAAUAAGAAGCACCGGCUAACUACGUG
rnacentral:rRNA from 1 species